rnacentral:rRNA from 1 species
GAUGAACGCUGGCGGCGUGCAUAACACAUUCAAGUCGAACGGAGCAGCAAUGCUUAGUGGCGGACGGGUGAGUAACGCGUGAGCAAUCUGCCUCUGUGUGGGGGAUAACAACCGGAAACGGUUGCUAAUACCGCAUAAUACGUACCUAUCGCAUGGUUAGUACGUCAAAGAUUUAUUGCACAGAGAUGAGCUUGCGUCCGAUUAGAUAGUUGGCAGGGUAACGGCCUACCAAGUCGACGAUCGGUAGCCGAACUGAGAGGUUGAACGGCCACAUUGGAACUGAGAUACGGUCCAGACCCCUACCGGGAGGCAGCAGUGGGGAAUAUUGGGCAAUGGGCGAAAGCCUGACCCAGCGACGCCGCGUGAGGGAAGAAGGUCUUCGGAUUGUAAACCUUUGUCAACAGGGACGAUAAUGACGGUACCUGAGGAGGAAGCCACGGCUAACUACGUG